UCAGGAUGAACGCUGGCGGNGUGCUUAACACAUGCAAGUCGAACGAUGACCUCCAGCUUGCUGGGGUGAUUAGUGGCGAACGGGUGAGUAACACGUGAGUAACCUGCCCUUAACUCUGGGAUAAGCCUGGGAAACUGGGUCUAAUACCGGAUAUGACUCCUCAUCGCAUGGUGGGGGGUGGAAAGCUUUUUGUGGUUUUGGAUGGACUCGCGGCCUAUCAGCUUGUUGGUGAGGUAAUGGCUCACCAAGGCGACGACGGGUAGCCGGCCUGAGAGGGUGACCGGCCACACUGGGACUGAGACACGGCCCAGACUCCUACGGGAGGCAGCAGUGGGGAAUAUUGCACAAUGGGCGAAAGCCUGAUGCAGCGACGCCGCGUGAGGGAUGACGGCCUUCGGGUUGUAAACCUCUUUCAGUAGGGAAGAAGCGAAAGUGAC
rnacentral:rRNA from 1 species